AACGAACGCUGGCGGCAGGCCUAACACAUGCAAGUCGAGCGAAGCCUUCGGGCUUAGCGGCGGACGGGUGAGUAACGCGUGGGAACGUACCCUUUGCUACGGAAUAGCCCCGGGAAACUGGGAGUAAUACCGUAUGUGCCCUUCGGGGGAAAGAUUUAUCGGCAAAGGAUCGGCCCGCGUUGGAUUAGGUAGUUGGUGAGGUAAUGGCCUACCAAGCCGACGAUCCAUAGCUGGUUUGAGAGGAUGAUCAGCCACACUGGGACUGAGACACGGCCCAGACUCCUACGGGAGGCAGCAGUGGGGAAUCUUAGACAAUGGGCGGAAGCCUGAUCUAGCCAUGCCGCGUGAUCGAUGAAGGCCUUAGGGUUGUAAAGAUCUUUCAGGUGGGAAGAUAAUGACUGUACCACCAGAAGAAGCCCCGGCUAACUCCGUGCCAGCAGCCGCAGUAAUAC
rnacentral:rRNA from 1 species